AUUGAACGCUGGCGGCAGGCCUAACACAUGCAAGUCGAGCGAGCGGCGGACGGGUGAGUAAUGCCUGGGAAUUGCCCAGUCGAGGGGGAUAACAGUUGGAAAUGACUGCUAAUACCGCAUACGAUUGGACGGCCCAGGUUGGAUUAGCUAGUCGGUGAGGUAAUGGCGCACCAAGGCGACGCUCCCUAGCUGGUCUGAGAGGAUGAUCAGCCACACUGGAACUGAGACACGGUCCAGACUCCUACGUGAGGCAGCAGUGGGGAAUAUUGGCCAAUGGGGGAAACCCUGAUGCAGCCAUGCCGAGUGUGUGAAGAAGGCGUUCGGAUUGUAAAGCACUGUCAGCGAGGAGGCGUUACUCGCAGAAGAAGCACCGGCUAACUCCGUGCCAGCGGCCGCGGUAAUAC
rnacentral:rRNA from 1 species